GACGAACGCUGGCGGCAUGCCUAACACAUGCCAGUCGAACGGAGAUUAUUUCGGUAAUCUUAGUGGCGAACGGGUGAGUAACGCGUGGGCAACCUGCCCUCUAGAUGGGGACAACAUCCCGAAAGGGGUGCUAAUACCGAAUGUGACAGCAAUCUCGCAUGAGGAUGCUGUGAAAGAUGGCCUCUAUUUAUAAGCUAUCGCUAGAGGAUGGGCCUGCGUCUGAUUAGCUAGUUGGUGGGGUAACGGCCUACCAAGGCGAUGAUCAGUAGCCGGUCUGAGAGGAUGAACGGCCACAUUGGGACUGAGACACGGCCCAGACUCCUACGGGAGGCAGCAGUGGGGAAUCUUCCGCAAUGGGCGAAAGCCUGACGGAGCAAUGCCGCGUGAGUGGUGAAGGAAUUCGUUCCGUAAAGCUCUUUUGUUUAUGACGAAUGUGCAGAUUGUGAACAAUGAUCUGUAAUGACGGUAGUAAACGAAUAAGCCACGGCUAACUACGUG
rnacentral:rRNA from 1 species